UGAUCUCCUUAAAAUACCAGCAAGCUAUAAUGGAUUAAGUCCUAUAAGAUCUUUAAAGAAUAAAUGGAAAAUUCUGGAUCACUAUGAAUGACAUCAACAGGAAAGUAUGUCUAGCAAUAUUAUUUUCAAUAGAUGAUCUAAUGCCACAAAGACAACCUUCUAAUCCAUCAGGGCAAGGAUAUGAACCCUGAAUAAGUUAUAUCAUUUAUCAGGCAUCCAGAUAAAACACACCGUUAAGACCCUGCACAGAGGUUUGCAAUAAAGAGCAGGGAACAGCUGAACUUGGAUUCUAUCUGUUCAGUUGAGAGAAUUCUUCACUCUGAAAGUUUAAAUAAAUGAGUGUUCAUACGUUAGAUUUCCCAACUCAUAGAUGGUCUGGAACUCAAGCUCCAGUGACAUUAUAAACUCAACUACUGGAAAGGCAGGGAAAAAAAACCUUGGAAAAUUUGGUUUAUGUCUUUUAUUGUUUGUUAAUGCAAACAUGUUGACUUAAAAUGUUCCUAUGUCU
rnacentral:lncRNA from 1 species